AGAGUUUGAUCCUGGCUCAGGAUGAACGCUGGCGGCGUGCCUAAUACAUGCAAGUCGAGCGAACGGACGAGAAGCUUGCUUCUCUGAUGUUAGCGGCGGACGGGUGAGUAACACGUGGAUAACCUACCUAUAAGACUGGGAUAACUUCGGGAAACCGGAGCUAAUACCGGAUAAUAUUUUGAACCGCAUGGUUCAAAAGUGAAAGACGGUCUUGCUGUCACUUAUAGAUGGAUCCGCGCUGCAUUAGCUAGUUGGUAAGGUAACGGCUUACCAAGGCAACGAUGCAUAGCCGACCUGAGAGGGUGAUCGGCCACACUGGAACUGAGACACGGUCCAGACUCCUACGGGAGGCAGCAGUAGGGAAUCUUCCGCAAUGGGCGAAAGCCUGACGGAGCAACGCCGCGUGAGUGAUGAAGGUCUUCGGAUCGUAAAACUCUGUUAUUAGGGAAGAACAUAUGUGUAAGUAACUGUGCACAUCUUGACGGUACCUAAUCAGAAAGCCACGGCUAACUACGUGCCAGCAGCCGCGGUAAUACGUAGGUGGCAAGCGUUAUCCGGAAUUAUUGGGCGUAAAGCGCGCGUAGGCGGUUUUUUAAGUCUGAUGUGAAAGCCCACGGCUCAACCGUGGAGGGUCAUUGGAAACUGGAAAACUUGAGUGCAGAAGAGGAAAGUGGAAUUCCAUGUGUAGCGGUGAAAUGCGCAGAGAUAUGGAGGAACACCAGUGGCGAAGGCGACUUUCUGGUCUGUAACUGACGCUGAUGUGCGAAAGCGUGGGGAUCAAACAGGAUUAGAUACCCUGGUAGUCCACGCCGUAAACGAUGAGUGCUAAGUGUUAGGGGGUUUCCGCCCCUUAGUGCUGCAGCUAACGCAUUAAGCACUCCGCCUGGGGAGUACGACCGCAAGGUUGAAACUCAAAGGAAUUGACGGGGACCCGCACAAGCGGUGGAGCAUGUGGUUUAAUUCGAAGCAACGCGAAGAACCUUACCAAAUCUUGACAUCCUUUGACAACUCUAGAGAUAGAGCCUUUCCCUUCGGGGGACAAAGUGACAGGUGGUGCAUGGUUGUCGUCAGCUCGUGUCGUGAGAUGUUGGGUUAAGUCCCGCAACGAGCGCAACCCUUAAGCUUAGUUGCCAUCAUUAAGUUGGGCACUCUAAGUUGACUG
rnacentral:rRNA from 1 species